GUAGUCUCGCACAGAUGCAUAUCAAUAAGCGGAGGAAAAGAAACUAACAAGGAUUCCCUUAGUAACGGCGAGUGAAGCGGGAAGAGCUCAAAUUUGAAAUCUUCAAGGUUUUACCUUGACGAAUUGUAGUUUAAAGAAGUGUUUUCUGUUGAAGUUUUGGUAAAAGUUCUUUGGAAUAGGACAUCAUAGAGGGUGAGAAUCCCGUAUUUGACCAUUAUUUUCAGCUGUGUGAUACACUUUCAAAGAGUCGGAUUGUUUGGGAAUGCAGUCCAAAAUGGGUGGUAAAUUUCAUCUAAAGCUAAAUAUUGGCGAGAGACCGAUAGCGAACAAGUACCGUGAGGGAAAGAUGAAAAGAACUUUGAAAAGAGAGUUAAACAGUACGUGAAAUUGUCAAAAGGGAAGCGUUUGGACACCAGUGUUGUUUUCUCGAAAAUCAAUUAAAAAGAGUUAGAUUUUGUUGUGUAUUGACCUUAACAGCUUGCAUUUCAAUUUUCUUGCUUUUUUUAAUGCACUUUUCGUUUAACAAGUCAACAUCAGUUUCUUUUGUUGUAAAAAGGUCAUUGGAAGGUGGCUUUCUUUUCGGAGAAAGUGUUUAUAGCCUUUGACUCCUGCAAUCGGAGAGACUGAGGUCUGCAGCGUAGAUCCUUCGGGGUUAAUGUACAUUUGUGCUAAGUUAUAGCAUUUUAUAGACAACUUGUUGACUAUGAUUAGUCUUGUAGCUUACUCGCUUAUGCUAUUUUACCUACGCUUAGGAUGUUGAUGUGAUACUGCGAGCA
rnacentral:rRNA from 1 species